UAAUAUGGCAGACUAGUGCAGUGGAUUUAAACCCCAAAAAUAAAGGAAACUUUUUUUAGAAA
rnacentral:tRNA from 1 species